UACGUAGGGGGCAAGCGUUGUCCGGAUUUACUGGGCGUAAAGAGCGUGUAGGCGGCCAAGCAGGUCCGUUGUGAAAACUGGAGGCUUAACCUCCAGACGUCGAUGGAAACCGUAUGGCUAGAGUCCGGAAGAGGAGAGUGGAAUUCCUGGUGUAGCGGUGAAAUGCGCAGAUAUCAGGAAGAACACCCGUGGCGAAGGCGGCUCUCUGGGACGGUACUGACGCUGAGACGCGAAAGCGUGGGGAGCGAACAGG
rnacentral:rRNA from 1 species